rnacentral:rRNA from 1 species
GGCUCAGGAUGAACGCUGGCGGCGUGCCUAAUACAUGCAAGUCGAGCGAACAGAUGAGAAGCUUGCUUCUCUGAUGUUAGCGGCGGACGGGUGAGUAACACGUGGGUAACCUACCUAUAAGACUGGGAUAACUCCGGGAAACCGGGGCUAAUACCGGAUAAUAUUUUGAACCGCAUGGUUCAAUAGUGAAAGACGGUUUCGGCUGUCACUUAUAGAUGGACCCGCGCCGUAUUAGCUAGUUGGUAAGGUAACGGCUUACCAAGGCGACGAUACGUAGCCGACCUGAGAGGGUGAUCGGCCACACUGGAACUGAGACACGGUCCAGACUCCUACGGGAGGCAGCAGUAGGGAAUCUUCCGCAAUGGGCGAAAGCCUGACGGAGCAACGCCGCGUGAGUGAUGAAGGUCUUCGGAUCGUAAAACUCUGUUGUUAGGGAAGAACAAAUUUG